rnacentral:rRNA from 1 species
CGGGUGAGUAACACGUGGAUAACCUACCUAUAAGAGUGGGAUAACUUCGGGAAACCGGAGCUAAUACCGGAUAAUAUUUUGAACCGCAUGGUUCAAAAGUGAAAGACGGUCUUGCUGUCACUUAUAGAUGGAUCCGCGCUGCAUUAGCUAGUUGGUAAGGUAACGGCUUACCAAGGCAACGAUGCAUAGCCGACCUGAGAGGGUGAUCGGCCACACUGGAACUGAGACACGGUCCAG